rnacentral:pre_miRNA from 1 species
GUUACGUUUGGAUUGAAGGAAUGAAAUGGAAUGGAAUGAAGAGAUGAAUGAUUUGUUCCAUUUCAGUCAGAAUGAGUCAUUCCAUACCCUCCCCCAAGUAAUAAAAUUCAUAAUUUGGAAGGAAUGAGAAUGAUUCAUUCCAUUCCAAUAGAACAACCAAACACAAAUUUUUUUUCUCAUUCCAUUCCCUCGUUCACUCCACCGAUCCAAACGUAGC